rnacentral:rRNA from 1 species
AUACCCUAUUAUUUUUAAUGUAAAUUGUAAACCUGAGUAUUAGUAGUUAUGGUCUUAAAACUUAAAGAAUUUGGCGGUAUUAUAGUCUAUUUAGAGGAAUCUGUUAUAUGAUCGAUAAUCCACGUUGAAUCUUACUUAUAUUAAUUCUUGUAUACCGCUGUUUAAGAAGAUAUUUUUAGGUGAAUUUUCUGAAUAAAUUAUUAAUUAGUAUUUCAAGUCAAGGUGCAGUAAUAUAUAAGUUGAAUAAUGGAUUACAAUAAAUUGUAAUUAAAUGGAUAGUUAAUGUAAUAUUAACUUGAAGGUGGAUUUAAUUGUAAAUUUGUGAAGAUUAUAAAGUUGAUUAAUGGCUCUAUAAUAUGCACACAUCGC